rnacentral:rRNA from 1 species
ACUAGGAUUUAUCCUGGGAUCACAAUGGGCUUGAUUUGCAAACUUUAUUAGCGAGGAACAAUUGGAGGGCAAGUCUGGUGCCAGCAGCCGCGGUAAUUCCAGCUCCAAUAGUGUAUAUUAAUGUUCCUGCAGUUAUUCGAUGCUCGUAGUUGGAUUUCUGGGGGCUGAUUCUGGACGGCGGCUAUGGCCGCCACCGGUUUCUUCCUUCAUCCACCUGUUAACGUUGUUCGAGAUUCAUUUCUCGGCUUCGGGCUCAGGUAUUUUACCCUUACUAUAUUCAUUUAUUUAUCUUCUUUUUGAGCAAAUUAUAGUGUUUCAGGCAGGCGUGCGCCGGAAUACUUUAGCAUGGAAUAAUCGAAUUGGACUGUGUUCCUUAUUUGUUGGUUUGAUGGGCACAGAAUGGUUAAUAGGGAUAGUAAUUUUCAGGGGAGGCAUUAGUAUUUAAUUUCCAGAGGUGAAAUUCUUUGAAAUAUUAAAGACUAACUUAUGCGAAAGCAUUUAUUUUGCCAAUAAUGUUUUCAUUAAUCAUUGAACGAAAGUUAGGGGAUCAAAGACGAUCAGAUACCGUCCUAGUCUUAACCAUAAACGUUGCCGACUAGGGAUCGGAGGGCGUGCACAUUCCGCCUUCGGCACCUUACGAGAAAUCAAAGUCUUUUGGGUUCUGGGGGUAGUAUGGUCGCAAGGCUGAAACUUAAAGGAAUUGACGGAAGGGCACCACCAGGAGUGGAGCUUGCGGCUCAAUUUGACUCAACACGGGAAAUCUUACCAGGUCCAGACAUAGCGAGGAUUGACAGAUUGAUAGCUCUUUCUUGAUUCUAUGGGUAUUUUUGGUGGUGCAUGGCCGUUCUUAGUUGGUGGAGUGAUUUGUCUGGUUAAUUCCGUUAAACGAACGAGACCUCAGCCUGCUAAAUAGUUACUUGUCUUUCUUUUACGAGACAUGUUAACUUCUUAGAGGGACGUUGUGUGCAACCACAAGGAAGUUGAGGCAAUAACAGGUCUGUGAUGCCCUUAGAUGUCCUGGGCCGCACGCGUGCUACACUGAUACGUACAACGAGGUAUAUGUAUUUAUACAUCGAUGCUGCUCCGAAAUAGACAAAGCUAAAUCUUCUAAAAUACGUAUCGUGCUGCGGAUAGAUCGUCGAAAUUAUGAAUCUUGAAGGUGGAAUUCCUAGUAAGCGCGGGUCAUCAACCCGCGUUGAUUACGUCCCUGCCCUUUGUACACACCGCCCGUCGCUCCUACCAAUUUCGUGUGGCUCGGUGAACCUCUUUGGACUGUCGAGCAAUCGCGAAAUUAGAGUGAACCUGGUCAC